rnacentral:rRNA from 1 species
UACGAGAGGCCCAAACGUUAUUCGGAAUUACUGGGCUUAAAGAGUUCGUAGGCGGCGCAGAAAGUAGGGUGUGAAAGCCCUCGGCUCAACCGAGGAAUUGCGCUCUAAACUACUGUGCUUGAGGAAUCUAGAGGUGAGCAGAACUGAUGGUGGAGCGGUGAAAUGCGUUGAUAUCAUCAGGAAUACCGGAGGCGAAGGCGGCUCACUGGGGGUUUUCUGACGCUGAGGAACGAAAGCCAGGGGAGCGAACGGG